rnacentral:rRNA from 1 species
UUUAUGGAGAGUUUGAUCCUGGCUCAGGACGAACGCUGGCGGCGUGCCUAAUACAUGCAAGUCGAGCGGACCGACGGGAGCUUGCUCCCUUAGGUCAGCGGCGGACGGGUGAGUAACACGUGGGUAACC